CGCGUAGGCGGGAUAUUAAGUCUCUUGUCAAAGUGCGGGGCUCAACCCCGUGAUGCGGGAGAAACUAAUAUUCUUGAGUGCCGGAGAGGAAAGCGGAAUUCCCAGUGUAGCGGUGAAAUGCGUAGAUAUUGGGAGGAACACCUGUGGCGAAGGCGGCUUUCUGGACGGUGUCUGACACUGAGGCGCGAAAGCCAGGGGAGCGAACGGGAUUAGAUACCCCGGUAGUCCUGGCCGUAAACGAUGGGUACUAGGUGUAGGGGGUAUCGACCCCUCCUGUGCCGGAGUUAACGCAAUAAGUACCCCGCCUGGGGAGUACGGCCGCAAGGUUGAA
rnacentral:rRNA from 1 species